rnacentral:ncRNA from 2 species
CAUAGCUUCCGGGGGAGUCCCGCAGACGGGACUGAGAGGAAGGGCGAGGCCCUUCGACCCCUCGAACCUGAUCCGGUUCAUACCGGCGGAGGAAGGAAGAUCCAGGGGCUU